GACGAACCGUGCGAACGUUGUUCGGAAUCACUGGGCGUAAAGGGCGCGUAGGCGGCCUGAUAAGUCGGGGGUGAAAGCCUGUGGCUCAACCACAGAAUUGCCUUCGAUACUGUUAGGCUUGAGACCGGAAGAGGUAAGUGGAACUGCGAGUGUAGAGGUGAAAUUCGUAGAUAUUCGCAAGAACACCAGUGGCGAAGGCGGCUUACUGGUCCGGUUCUGACGCUGAGGCGCGAAAGCGUGGGGAGCAAACAGG
rnacentral:rRNA from 1 species